GAAGGGGGUAAGAACAUGAAGAACUGCUAAUUCUCCACCCUGGGGCUAAACUCCCCAGACCCU
rnacentral:tRNA from 2 species